rnacentral:rRNA from 1 species
GCAGUGGGGAAUAUUGGACAAUGGGCGCAAGCCUGAUCCAGCCAUACCGCGUGGGUGAAGAAGGCCUUCGGGUUGUAAAGCCCUUUUGUUGGGAAAGAAAAGCAGCGGGCUAAUACCCAGCUGUUCUGACGGUACCCAAAGAAUAAGCACCGGCUAACUUCGUGCCAGCAGCCGCGGUAAUACGAAGGGUGCAAGCGUUACUCGGAAUUACUGGGCGUAAAGCGUGCGUAGGUGGUUGUUUAAGUCUGUUGUGAAAGCCCUGGGCUCAACCUGGGAAUUGCAGUGGAUACUGGGCGACUAGAGUGUGGUAGAGGGUAGUGGAAUUCCCGGUGUAGCAGUGAAAUGCGUAGAGAUCGGGAGGAACAUCCAUGGCGAAGGCAGCUACCUGGACCAACACUGACACUGAGGCACGAAAGCGUGGGGAGCAAACAGGAUUAGA